rnacentral:rRNA from 1 species
UCUGNUCUGUCACUGACGCUGAGGCUCGAAAGCGUGGGUAGCGAACAGGAUUAGAUACCCUGGUAGUNCACGCCGUAAACGAUGAGUGCUAGGUGUUAGGCCCUUUCCGGGGCUUAGUGCCGGAGCUAACGCAAUAAGCACUCCGCCUGGGGAGUACGACCGCAAGGUUGAAACUCAAAGGAAUUGACGGGGGCCCGCACAAGCGGUGGAGCAUGUGGUUUAAUUCGAAGCAACGCGAAGAACCUUACCAGGUCUUGACAUCCCGAUGCUAUUCUUAGAGAUAGGAAGUUACUUCGGUACAUCGGAGACAGGUGGUGCAUGGUUGUCGUCAGCUCGUGUCGUGAGAUGUUGGGUUAANUNNNNNNNCGAGCGCAACCCUUAUUGUUAGUUGCCAUCAUUAAGUUGGGCACUCUAGCGAGACUGCCGGUAAUAAACCGGAGGAAGGUGGGGAUGACGUCAAAUCAUCAUGCCCCUUAUGACCUGGGCUACACACGUGCUACAAUGGUCGGUACAACGAGUUGCGAGCCGGUGACGGCAAGCUAAUCUCUGAAAGCCGAUCUCAGUUCGGAUUGGAGGCUGCAACUCGCCUCCAUGAAGUCGGAAUCGCUAGUAAUCGCGGAUCAGCACGCCGCGGUGAAUACGUUCCCGGGCCUNG